CGAUCGUUGAAUCUUGUCUUGAUGAGGAAGAUAAGAGAGAGAAGUGUGUGUCCCAGGAGAGAUUCUUGGAAGCAUUCAAGAGAGUCGUAGAGAGAGUGGCUCAACGUCUCAAUGAACAGCCCGUGAUCGUGGCCCACAGCGAAAACACCUUCGAUGGGAGCGGCAUCAGGAGGCUCCUGUCCAAUAAAUUCGAAUUCGACAAGGUAAACUUUCAUACAUAUAUAUGAACAAGAAGAGAAGUCUUGAAAUGAUGAUAUCACAAGCCAUAACCCGGAAUGUUUUGGUUGUACGUAGGCAUUAAACGUUGCGUUGGAGAUAAUCCCAAAAGACCGUCAUGGUAAGGUAUCCAAAGAGUAUCUACGAGCUGUGCUCGACACUGUUGCACCAUCUGCGACUUUACCACCAUUAGGUGCAGUGUCCCAGGUAAACAAUAUAUACCCCCUCCAAAUGUUUUGGACUUGUGGAUUGUUUUUGUGCGUGAACGUUCAUGUUUGCAUGUUAUGGGCUUCUAUUACUUUUUAAAUUGAAAUCACAACUAAUGUUUAAGUGAAUUUGUGUUACUGGUAGGAGAUGCUUUUUAUCAGUUAUUCUUUUAGUUGUAAUUGCGGGUCUUCUAGCGUGUAAAUCGUUCGGAUUCGGUUCGGGUCUAUUAGAGUUUCGGGUUUUCGGGAUCAAAGAUUUUAGCCCCAUUCGAAUAUUUCUAAGUUUCGGUUCGGCUUCGGUUCGGAUCUUUGCGGUUUCGGAUAACCUAUUAAAAUUAUUUUUAAAAUUUUAAAAUUCAUUAUAUACUUUAAAUUUUUCAAAAUCUAUAAACAAAAUAUUAUAUUACAUACAAAUUUGAAUAACAUAUGUCAAAAUUCCUAAACUUAACAUAUAAUUUGAUUUGGAUUGAAUAUUUGGAUAGAUAAUCAAUAAAUAUUUUAAAUAUUUUUGGUGUUUUGAGUAUAUUUUAGCUAUUUUAGACAUUUACUUUUGACUAUUAGUAUAUAUUUUCAAGUAUUUUGGACAAUUUAAAAAUCUUAUAUAUUUUGGAUGUUUUUAAUUAAUAGACAUUAAAUCUAAAAUAUAUUUAUAUAAGGGGUAUAGAAAUCAAUUUUGGACACAUUCGGGUACCCGGAAUACUUCAAUUCGGGUCGGGUUCGGUUCCGGUUCUUUAGAUACCAAAAUUUUGAACCCGUUAGGAUAUUUAAUCAAUUUCGGCUCGGGUCCAGUAUUACUUUUUUUGGGUCGGGUUCGAUUCGGUUCUUUCGGAUUUGGAUUUUUUGUACAGCCCUAUGUAAAUGCAUAGAUAAGUUAAAAUUUGUAACGAUAUAAUUAUGUUUAGUCUUGAGUGUUUUUAUUUCAGCGAAAUUGAUAAGAUAUUUUGUUGUGUGUUUUUGUUUGAAGAUGGAUGAUAUGAUAAGGGAAGCGCUGAAGAUGGUGAAUGGAGAUGAUGGAAAGAUGGUGAAGGAAGAGGAGUUUAAGAAAACAAUGGCGGAGAUAUUGGGAAGUAUAAUGUUGCAGCUUGAGGGUAGUCCCAUAUCGGUCUCCUCUAACUCAGUGGUUCACGAGCCGCUCACCUCCGCCACCUUCCUGCCGGCGCCUCCGGCUGAAGCAGAUGAGCCUUCUAAUUAACUAGAGUCGUUUUAAGUGGGGAGAAACAAGAACAAAAAUGGUUACGGUUAUGAGUUUUUACCCCCCUUUGAGUAUUUAAAUAUUUGAGGAAAACCAGCUUACUUUGGGAUGUGUAAGAAAAAAAAAAGCCUCUCUUCAUUUCUUUCGGAUGAUAAAAGAGAAAUGGGCGUUUUUAGUACUGAAUACAUUCAAAGAUUGUGGUUUCAUCGUAUGGGAGUGGUGAUUAUGCUCAUGUGGCUUUGUCUUUAUUUUCAUCAUGGAAUGCAAUGUUUUAGUAUGUUUUUUUUAAUUUUAUUUUCUGUCUUGAAUCAUGCAUCUUAAUUACGUUGACUCUGUCAUGGGUAGCGGGCAAUAAUCUUUUACUCUUGAGUUUUUAUAAUUACCAGACGACUUACACUUCAGUCGUCCAGACGACUUACACUUCAGUCGUCCAGACGACUUCCAACAUCUCAGACGACUCAGACGAUUUACUGGGGCUAUAUUCGUAAAAAUGGCUUCUGUUUUUUUGUUUGGUCACAAGGGGCUGAGCUGUAAUUUCACUAGGCUUUUAGGUUAGUUUUGCAUUUGAUUCAAAUUUGGGUAUAGGUUUGGAAUUAAAAUCAAGUUGUGGGUUAGUUUUGGCAAAAACCCCUUUCUUUAUUGUCUUGGAAUUGUCCUACUUAUUACGUAGACUAUUAUAUUACUGACAAAAAGUUUAAAUGGAAUCUCAGAAUUUUACUAUAGUUGUAUAAGUUAUCUUCUUGAUAUAUGUGUAGGGUUUGGUGGUUACAUUUUAUUUUAUUUUUGCGUUGAGUGAUAGGUGAAAAAAUAAAUUAAAGCAGAUGUUUUAAUAAUGGUAAAUAACUUUGGUCGGUGACCUUAUCCUAGAUCAUAUCUCAAGUUAGCCCCUCGUGUCGCUCUCUUCGCUGCCGUCUCAUGCUAGGAACAUCGCUUUUUGAAUCCUCACCUACUUAUUCUUAACUACUGUAUUAAACAUUAAUCAACUGGCUGUUAUAAUAUAUUGCGUAUUUGAUACGUCAUAUAGAAGCUUUCGUUCGUGUCACCAAUAUUUUUCGACUGACAUUUCGUAAAAAAAUUCAAAAAAAUUCAAAUACAGCUUUUUAAUAACGAAAACCCUAGUUUAUAUCAAUUUUCCCAUGUGUUCCAAAUAAUUCAAUAACACACAAGAAGAAAAAUACAGACCCUUGUUUUCUAUAGAUGUGUGAACCAAAACCAAAAAGAUAACUUCUAUUUACCGACAUGGAAUCUUGAACCUACAUUAAAUAUGGUAAACCUACCUCGUGUUUCGCAUGAAUCACGUUGAUUAAUCGAUUAGACCAAAGAGGACUUUGAAUAAAUACAUAAUUGUGUAGUUCGUAGUCAUUCACUAAUUAAGAUUCGCUUAUUGAAAAAACAUAUCCAAGUAAAACCAAAUUCGAAUCUUUCUCUCAUUGGAUUUAGAUCAAUACUCAAUUAUUUAUCGUUAGGUUUUGUUUUUGGUGUAUUUAAAGAGUAGACAACGAGAUCAAAGCAUUAAGCUUCUAUCUGUCUCGUCCGUACAUUUAUUUCAUCAUUUUGUAACGUUAUAAUAAACUAUUGUUCUACAGUUCUAGUCUAAGAUGCUUUAAUUGAUUUCCUUUUCUGCUUCAUUGCGAGAUCAAUACUCAAUUAUUUAUCGUUAGGUUUUGUUUUUGGUGUAUUUAAAGAGUAGACAACGAGAUCAAAGCAUUAAGCUUCUAUCUGUCUCGUCCGUACAUUUAUUUCAUCAUUUUGUAACGUUAUAAUAAACUAUUACAGGUCUUAAACGAAUUCACUCAUGGAAGUCAAGAGAAAGUGAGCAAGACAGAGUUCAAAGAAGUGUUGUCAGAUAUUUUGUUGGGCAUGGCUGCUGGUUUAAAACGCGACCCCAUCGUCAUCCUCAGGAUGGACGGUGAGGAUCUGUCGGAGUUUAUCCACAGCCCUGGAUACGAAGCUGAGAUCGUCUCCAUCUACUUCUCAGCGCUGUCUGGCUGCGAGGAAGCAUCGCUCCGUGAUUGCAUCGCCAAAGCUCUCCAGUCACUUUCUGUUGAUCAUGGAAUGCCUCCUUCUAACGAUCCAUGGGUACUUACUUUAGUUUAUAUAUAUUACUUAUUUUUUGAACUAAUUGUGGUUUUAACUUCGAUGUCAAAAAAAAAAAGAACUGUGGUUUAAACUCCUUUUUCAUAUACUUUUAAAUGUACAGCGUAUAUUUAGCAUAAAAAUACUUGAUUCACCCAAAAUCCUAAAUUAAAAUAUAAUAAGCAACGUAUAUUGAGACCAAUGAGCCUGUCUAAAAAGCUAAGUUAUUGUUUCAGGUAAUAAGCAACAUUGUCGAACCGAUCGUUGAAUCUUGUCUUGAUGAGGAAGAUAAGAGAGAGAAGUGUGUGUCCCAGGAGAGAUUCUUGGAAGCAUUCAAGAGAGUCGUAGAGAGAGUGGCUCAACGUCUCAAUGAACAGCCCGUGAUCGUGGCCCACAGCGAAAACACCUUCGAUGGGAGCGGCAUCAGGAGGCUCCUGUCCAAUAAAUUCGAAUUCGACAAGG
rnacentral:lncRNA from 1 species